UACAGAGGGGGCAAGCGUUGUUCGGAAUUACUGGGCGUAAAGGGCGCGUAGGUGGCCUUCUAAGUUGAACGUGAAAUCCCUGGGCUCAACCCCAGGAACUGCGUCCAAGACUGGGAGGCUUGAAUCCGGGAGAGGGAUGCGGAAUUCCAGGUGUAGCGGUGAAAUGCUUAGAUAUGACAUAGAACACCAAUUGCGAAGGCAGCUCGCUACACGAAUAUUGACUCUGAGGCACGAAAGCGUGGGGAUCAAACAGG
rnacentral:rRNA from 1 species